UGGUUGAUGGCUGUGCUGUCUGGGCUGUGAGGCUGUACCAGUCUCCAUGUCAAAGCAAAGCACACGUGGCCCACCUCUACGAGUCCUUAAGAUGGAGAUAACAUUAUGAUGUCAAGGGGAAAGAGGGAGAUAGGACAUAUUUAUAAUAGGAGUAUAGAACACAAGGGAUAUAAAAUGAAAGAUAUUUACUUACAUAUAUUUUAAGAUUACACACAAUACAUACUACGAGAAGUGGAAUUCAUUGGUUGUGGCAAUUUAAGCAGUCCCAGCCCUUAGCGCUUUACAGGUAAAAGAUCAGAUAGAGCUACUUCUAAGAGAAGCAGCAUCACCCCAAAUGUUGUCAAUUGUCCCAACCCACAGGACUUCAACCAGGGGCAAGAGAGUCAGGGGCAGGGAAUGGGGACAAGAGACACAGAAAAAACAACCACAAGACAGGAUUCUGAUCAAGUAGCAAACUUUAUUUUUCUCAGGCUAGCUUAUAUAAUCAGUAGAGCAGGAUUAGAAUGGGUUGUUUGUGCACCAGGUGGUAGUGUAGGCAGGAUAUUAGGAAGCCACAAAGAGGAUGUUUGGCAGGGUAAAGAGUUCAUGAGCAAGAGGUCCAGGAAUGUUUGCUUAGGUGACUAAGCCUGUGGGAAGAAGACUGGGUCAAGUUGUUUUCUUAUCUUAAGCUGAGUUUCCAAGGAUCUGCUAUGUAAAGGUUAAUAUACAACCAUGUGCCCAGUCAAGAACAGCCUAGGAUGCCUAGCAUCUCAUUCCCAGACCUGAGAUUUGGCUCCCAACAAGAGACUGUGUGUCUCCUCAUGUAAUUUACUCAUUUCAACACCACAGGAAUCCUGGCAGGUUUACCCCUGCUGAGUAUUUAUAUCUAAUUAAUACUGUUACUUCAGGGUCCCAAUUAUCAAUUAGUUUUUUUUUUAAAAAAACAAAAAAGGACAUAGCUUCUCAACAAAUUAUUUACCAUGUUAAUUUAAAGAAAACAGAAAUCAAGACAAACCUAGAUAGCUUAUCCCAAUGCCUACAAAAUAAAGAGAGAACUAAUUUACA
rnacentral:lncRNA from 1 species